UACAGAGGUCUCAAGCGUUGUUCGGAUUCAUUGGGCGUAAAGGGUGCGUAGGCGGCGCGGUAAGUCGGGCGUGAAAUCUCGGAGCUUAACUCCGAAACUGCAUUCGAUACUGCCGUGCUUGAGGACUGGAGAGGAGACUGGAAUUUACGGUGUAGCGGUGAAAUGCGUAGAUAUCAUAAGGAAGACCAGUGGCGAAGGCGGGUCUCUGGACAGUUCCUGACGCUGAGGCACGAAGGUCAGGGGAGCAAACGGG
rnacentral:rRNA from 1 species